UCGUGGGCUCAGCGGCCAAACCCCACACAGCCGCUCGCUCACGGCCUCACCAGCAGCACCCGGGAAAGAAUCAGAAGGGUAAAACCUGGGAAACUCGUGGGUUGAGAUAAAGACAGUUCAAUAGGGAAAGCAAAAGCCACACACACAAACGAAGAAAAACACUUCACUGCUCCCCAUGGGGCGUCAGGUGUUCAGCCAUCCCCUGUAGAGCAGGGCCGCAUCGCACAUGGCAAUGACUUGGGAAGACAAACACCUUCACUCCAAAUGUCCCCCCUUCCUCCUUCUUAUCCCCAGUUUUAUACACUGAGCACGUUGUCACAUGGUCUGGAACACCCCUUUGGUCAGUUUGUGUCUCCUGUCCUGGCUGUGUCUCCUCCCCUACACCCCCAGCUUCCUCGCCAGUGUGGCAGUGCAAAAGGCAGGGAAGGCCUUGGCUCUGUGUAAGGCCUGCUCAGCAAUUACAAAAAACAUCUCUGUAUUAUCAACCCUUGGCAGAAUCCACACAAAGCCCCACACCAGCCACUGUGAAGAAAGCUAAAUCUAAACCCAGCACAUACAGCUGGGGAGAUGCUUGAGGAAGUGAGCACCCUGCACGCUGUUGUGAUCGCUCAGGCUGGGCUUGUUGUGCUUGUGCAGUUGGGACAUUCAAGGCAUCCGCUUCUCAGCAGCCUGUGAGAUAGCAAUGGAGAAUGACAGAGCACCACUUUCUCAAAUUUGUGCUCACUGAAACCUUCCCAAACUGGAGGUUAACCAGGAUUUUCAAGUUCUUAUUAUAAGGAUUUAGUUUCAACAAGAUAAACUGGAGUGAAUUUUUGCUCCUAUGAGGGUCUCAGUCCCUUUUGUGAGUGGCCAAUGCUCAUAUGACUGGAGCAGAGGCUAUUUAAUUCUUCUCCAAGUGUCAAAGUGAUGUACUCCAUUUUGUUCCAAGCACCUUUAUUUUGAACUGAAAAUAUUCUUUUAUUCCUCCUUCAAUUUCCUCCUUUGUGUUAACAUCCUGUUCUUUGGUCUAGUCAGCAAGGAACCUGGAAAGUCACUUCUACUGAGAUAGGGUAGGGGUGGCCUGAACUCUACCAAUCCUUCUUUCUGUUCAAGGUGAUUAAUUAUCUGUGGCUUCCAAGAGAGGCUGCCAAAGUUGGACAGAAACCUGCUAAAGAUGCUCAAAUUCUCCAAACGUGGAAACUGGAUGAGAAGACAGAAGUUUGCUUCUAAAAAAUGAGGCCUUUACAAAGCACUUGUGGGAUAGGCAGAGCUGAUGGAUGGCUGUGAGCAGGGGAGCAUGGUAAUAAUGUGCACUUUAAAGGAGAGCCAGGAAUUUUAAUCUGAAGGCUGAUGCCAACUCUUCCCCAGAUCCUCGACAAGGUGAAGUUCAUUCCUGUUGAAACCACAGGGAGUUCUUGCAUUCAUUUCAGCCAGGCCAGGAUGUCACUAUUCUUGAAGGAGUAACAUUGACUGUAGGGAGGAAAGGUGUCUGGGAAUAAAUUAACUACCUUUUACAGUGAUACAUACAUUAUUAUUACUGCAAAACAAUCCCUUGCACAUUAAGUUAAACUUAAGUUUUAUUGAAGAAAAAUAGAAUAAUAACUAUCCAAACCACUGGCUGAUGUAAUGUAUUGAAAGGCUCUGCAUAGCCAAAUGUUUCUGUACUUAUGGCCCAUUACAUUUCAGUUCUCCUUCCAUAGCUGCUGAGCUGUUAACUUGCCAGAAAACUCCCCACUACAUCAUAAUCAAAAAAGUAAGUAAUUAAUACCUUUUUCACUGCACUCAGUGUGAGCAGAGAGUUCCAGUUCCAAUACCUGCACCAGCAUUAGAAAUUUGGAGUUUACAUGUUGACUUGGGAGCAGAGCUGAGGAGAGCAAUGAAGAGAGCUGGGGUGAGGGAAUGGUUAACUCUCUGAUGGAUGUUGGCUGGGUUUCUGGAGGUUUUUUUAUGCAGGGCAAGGCUCCAUUUCUGGCAGUGAGGGAACUGCUGAUCACAUCCCUGGCUAACAGGGCUCAGAAGUGCCUUGUCACUGCCACGGGGUCAUGGGCUUUUCUUGUGACUUGUGCUCAUUCACAUUGCUGGAAAAUAAAACCAUUCACCAUGAAUUCAGGAAGCAAUGCUAGCUUCAAAUAAGCACACAUGAAAUAACAGUUUCCUUGUUUUGGAAGGUAUUGGAAAAGGUGUCUUUUUUUUCCACAUAGGCAGAUUGUUUAAGAAGGGACUGAGAUUAAUGAGUAAGAAUCUCAUAGCACAUGAGAGUUUAAAAGUUUCUGUAUGUACAAGACCCUGAAUUUUUUUUAAUUUUUUUUCUGUUUUGUCUUACAUAGGUUUAUAUCCUUACAUGUCCUUUUAGUUUCACUUUAGCUUUUUGCAUUUAGUAUGCCCCAGAGUGAUAACCUCAGGAUUGGACUUGACUCACAACACAAAUGUCAUGAAACAGCAAACCUUUAACAAAGCCCCUGGUAUCACUGGACAUAUGGCUGUGUUUGGGAAGGGCCAGGCUGCUAAGACAGGUGUACCACAGAGCAACAGGGCACUGUGCUACACAGAGAGCUGGACACUGAUGGCAACAAGGCAAGGGUUUGGGUUGGCUAAAUUUCACAAACAUUAAAUAUAAUUUGAGAAAAUCAAAAAUCACAAAGCAAUGAUUACCAUUGAAGAUGUGACUGUGAAAUGUUUCAGUAUCCUGAAGACAAGCUUUUUUGAAAUUAACAUUAAUUUAAUUUUCACACCACUUAUCCUAGGAUUUAUGUUAGACACAAUCAAAAAUAAUCAAGAAAGAGCAGAUGAAUAACAAAGGAUGGCCUUUGCAGUUAAUACACAGUUGUUGAGGAUAGAGGAAAACAGAACUUAAAUAAAGCACCCUUAAUUUUAACUGUAUAAUGAGGAGGUCACUUUCAGUUAGACAAAAAAGUCCUUGGAAAUGUUGUGGAUAAUUUUCACAUAGUAUUAGCAUUAUUAUUUGGAAGAAUUAUAAAGGUAAGUAGCGCCUUAUAUAUGAUGAAACAAACAAUAUAGGAAUAUAACAAUGUCACUAUUUAAAUUCAUGAAACCAUCUCAUAUACUAGCAGUAGUUCUGGUUGGUCCAAUUCAAGAAAUGAUACAGAAAAAUCAAGGAAAAAAGUCCAAAACAAACAAAAAACCCAACUUGAAACAAAAACUGUAAGACAUUCACAGUAGUUUGGCACUCUUUGGCUUGGAAAAGACAAAGUACCGUGAAUGGAAUAAUGCAUUGUUUUAUAAAACCUUAGAGAUAUUAGAGAGAAAUUUAUGCAGAUUGCAUGCUGUUCUCUUUGUUUAACAGAUUCAGAGGCACCCACUGAAAUUAUUAAAUAGAAUGCAGUAUAAACACAAGGAAAAUCUGUUCCACACUGUUUGUAAUUAUGUAGAAUUUAUUGUUACUGAAUGACAUGGAGAUGAAGAAUAUAAAUGGUCUCAAAGGUAUUAAAUGUAAAAGGAAAGGUCAGUCUCUCUGUAGCAAAUAAACACAUUGCAUCCCUCAGGUGUUGAAGUCUAAGUCACAGAUGGCUGGACCAGGGGAAGACGGAGAGUCCUUGUGUUCAGUGUAUCCUCUGCACGCAUCAGCAGCCACUGCAGGGCACAGAGGCUGGCUAGUACAGUGCACUGGACCUUCCAGCUUGCCCAUUCUGGGAUCUGCCACUGCCACACUUCUGUGUUUAUUCUUUCAUUUUGGAAAUUCAGGUUUGCUUACUGAUUUGAUAAAAUAAGAUCAAGAUGAAUUAGAAUUUCCUGUGGGACAAACCAUCCUAAUUUUGUGUAAUUCUUAUAUCUGAUAUGAAUCACUCUAUCUUGCAUGGAUGAGGGAGCCAGGCUGUUUUUAAAAUUAAUCUGUGCUUUUUUU